GAUGAAGAACGUAGCGAAAUGCGAUAAGUAAUGUGAAUUGCAGAAUUCAGUGAAUCAUCGAAUCUUUGAACGCACCUUGCGCCUUUUGGUAUUCCGAAAGGCACACCUGUUUGAGCGUCAUGAAUACCUCAAUCUCCAUCUUUUCUUCGGAUUGAUGGGUGACUUGGAUGUUGAGCCCUGCUGAUAUGCUAUAUCAGCUGGCUUUAAACUUAUUAGCCGGCUCUGUACUGGAUCGGUUUGACUCGACGUGAUAAUAUUAUCGUUGAGGAUGCAUGUCUCAUGCAGCCGGAAAGUAUCAAAGCAGCUUCUAGCUUGCCUUUAGUGCACUUUUACAUUUUAGACCUCAGAUCAGGUGGGACUACCCGCUGAACUUAAGCAUAUCAAUAAGCGGAGGA
rnacentral:misc_RNA from 1 species